GGUAUAAAAACUAUCUAAUUAGCCUAAAUCUCUCAAACGCAUCAAUCUUCUCAUUCACGCUUUCAUUCAAGCUUACAAAACCCUAAUUUUGUUCAUCGCCGACAAGCAAAUCUAUCACCAUCUCUUUCGAUUUCAUUAGCAUCUGAUAAGUCAAUGAAUCUACAAGGCUGUGAACAGGUAAGGCAUGCCAGAAAGCUUUACAAGCGGUGAUUUUUACAGUUUUUGAGUAUUUGGAUAACCAGAAAUGAGGCCAUAUUCGUAUCUAAAACCCCUUUGGUUUCAAAGGUUAUCGAGGAAACGAAAGCAAUGUCUUUCCUUUGGGUUACAAAUCGGGCAAAAAGGAUAAAUCGUUUGUUAAAGACCCUGGCAUACGUGGCAUAUUGAAAAUGACGAGAGAGAGGUUUGUUUUUUAGCCCAAUGAUCCAUCAUUGUCUGUUAAGCUUAAUGUGGAGUUUAGAUUAAUAAAAGGACAUAAAACGAGUAAGGAGGGUGCGAACAGACCUGCUUUACUUAAUCUUACUCAAGAUCAGGGUAAUUACAUAUUUGAGUUCGAGAAUUUCUCAGAUAGGGAGAUUUGCAGGGACUUUGUAGAGUUGACUUAGAGAGAUCUUCUUAAAGCAAGACAAUUUGAUUCAAGGUCGUUUCUUGGGAGAAUUAACAAAGCAAGUUUUAUCCGAUCUUGAUGCAAGUAAAUACCAGGUGGCGAGUAUAGGGUGUCGAUAUACGGAAGGAAGCAAAGCGAAUGGGAUCAGUUGGCAAGUUGGUUCAUUCAUCAACAAUUCAAUUUAUAGUGAAAAUGCCGGGUUGACCCAAACCAACUUUGUCGAAUUUGUAACUGUUGUACAUCCAUGCAGUCAGAACUUUUGACCCGAGUGCUUUCACAGCCUCAGAGAGUUCUUAUCCUCUUGGUGUUCCUAUGAUCGUGAGCCUGCUGAAGAGGAUAUUGUUGUGGAUUUUAAUCUCACAUUAGCAGCUGGACAUGUAUUGGGUUUGACCUCAGAAUUCAACGUCCAACAUUCUACUUGGAGUUAUUGUUAGGCUCCUCAAACGCCUUACGCAAUUUAGUGGUCAUCGUUACUGGUCCAAGUUCUAACCAAUCUCCUAUGUUGUCACCAUGAAGAGGGCAAUGCUCGCUUUAUCAAUGUAUUUCUCGAGUCUUGCAGACGGAAUCUUCUUUACCUGGUGGUGCUGCUGAAAGAACAGAUGCCGCAAGAAAAAACCUAUCUAUAUAUUUUGAUUUCAACACUUCCUUCAGCUGAUAAGAAGUUAGAGAUGCCAAGAUGGGUGGGUUGGGUAACGGGUCACUUUUCACUACUGGCCGGGUCGGUUGACCCAUAAACACUUUCUUAUGCAUUAUAAUAUUCUAUAUAAAAAACUUGAAGUGUUAGUUUGUAAUAAAAAAAACGAUAUUAUUUCAAAAGUAAUCUAAAUUUUUUGAAUAAAACAAUUUAGAGGGUCAAAUGUUUAAAAUAUAGAUGCUUGGUGACUUCAACCUGUUUGACCCGUUGCCCUUUUAGCUACUUUUUAUUUGGCUCAUUUGAGAUAAAUACAACCCCGAUCAAUCCAUAAUGCGUAUAUAUUUAUGCCAUCGUUAUAAGAAGCAAAUGUGGUUUGUUUAUAUUAUAUCUGUGUGUUGCAGCUUCCUUAUUGGCUCAAGCAGAAUCUAUGACGCCUAAUUAUCUACAGGAAGAGAAUGUGAAUGUUCUCAGGUGAAUUUUUUAGAUCGGGUUAUAAUUCGCUUUUCCUAGACUCCCAUCGCAACCCGUUUCCCAUGAUUUUCCAUCGUGGCAUCUUUGUUUCGCUCUCAACUGAUGACCCGUUGCAAAUUUAUCUAACAAAAGAACCUUUGGUAGAGGAAUACGGUGUUGCAGCCAAGUUUACCAGUCUGGAUUCUCACACGCAGCAAAGGCACAUUGGCUUGGAACCAAGUACUACAAGCGAUGAUAUACAGAAGUCAAAUGUACCAAAAUUGAGGAUUGCAUUCCGUCAUCAAACAUGGACCGAGGAAAUACAUUACGUGUAUGCAGGACGCUCAAGACUACCUCAAGAAGUCGAGUAUUAGUAGGACGGGUAAAGCAGCCUCAGUUCUCAUCCUUAGAUAAGAAAACACACAAUCAAACAAACAAAAGAUCUUAGGUUGUUUAGAUGUAUGCCUUAUAAAAGAAUGCAUUCUAGAAGGCUUUUAUGAUUUCUUUCGAGCUGCUAUUGUGCUUAAGGAGAGUUGGAGACACUACUUGCAAUUACAAAGAAGAACCGCAGUCUGUAGCUCUCGCUUCGAAGAAUGAUGCAGAAAAUAUGAAACUGGUGGAAAAAAGAGAGGAUAGUGGUGGGACAAUGGCACUGCCUGUUGAAGGGUUUAUUAGUAAGGUUUUGCAUGGAGUGGAUGGGUUUAUGAAUCUGGGUCUUCGGUAGGGUCUAAUGUAGGUGUUAGUGGGGUGUUUGGGACGAAAGGUACCUCACCUAUCAUUUGUUGUCAUUUAUAUGUUAAAUUUCAGAAGCAAUGAUAGGGACAAAGAUGCAAGAGAUGAAGGGGCAUAAAGGGGUCUAAUCUUUGUUUGACGAUAAUGGAAUCUUAAAAAAUAGCUUAUUUUGGGUUGGCGAAUUUCUUUAAUCAUAGCCAAACAGUGCCAUUGACCAGCCGGGUAGUGACUUUGGUAUCGACCACUAGAAUUACUAUUCGGAGCAACUCAUUAUGGAGUGCAGGAUGUAUCUUUGGAGAAAUGUAUGCUAGCAAGCCUAUUAUACCUGCUUGAACAGAGGAAAUGGUGAAGGCUCGAUCAAGAAUAAUGGUAUAC
rnacentral:lncRNA from 1 species